GACGAACGCUGGCGGCGUGCUUAACACAUGCAAGUCGAGCGGUAAGGCCCUUUCGGGGGUACGACGAGCGGCGAACGGGUGAGUAACACGUGGGUGACCUGCCCUCAGCUCUGGGAUAAGCCUGGGAAACUGGGUCUAAUACUGGAUAUGACUCCACGGUGCAUGUCGUGGGGUGGAAAGCCUUGUGCGGCUGAGGAUGGGCCCGCGGCCUAUCAGCUUGUUGGUGGGGUGAUGGCCUACCAAGGCGACGACGGGUAGCCGGCCUGAGAGGGCGACCGGCCACACUGGGACUGAGACACGGCCCAGACUCCUACGGGAGGCAGCAGUGGGGAAUCUUGCGCAAUGGGCGAAAGCCUGACGCAGCGACGCCGCGUGAGGGAUGACGGCC
rnacentral:rRNA from 1 species